UGCCAGCCGCCGCGGUAAUACGGAGGGGGUUAGCGUUGUUCGGAAUUACUGGGCGUAAAGCGUACGUAGGCGGAUUAGUAAGUUAGAGGUGAAAUCCCAGGGCUCAACCCUGGAACUGCCUUUAAUACUGCUAGUCUUGAGUUCGAGAGAGGUGAGUGGAAUUUCCAGUGUAGAGGUGUAAUUCGUAGAUAUUGGAAAGAAUACCAGUGGCGAAGGCGACUAACUGGGCCAUUUUUGACGCUGAGAUACGAAAGCGUGGGCAGCAAACAGGAUUAGAUA
rnacentral:rRNA from 1 species